CCACUGCCGGUUGGAGCGCUCGGGGAAAGCAGCUGGUCGGAGCGCCGGGCUGGCUCAUUGGUUAAGAGCCCCUCUCCUCUUGCGGAGCAUGGCAAGCUCUUGAGAGGCGUGCUCCGCGCUGCUACCGACAGCCUGGGGUGAGAGCGCUGCUUACCAGUUAGUAGCUCUGCCGGCUGCCGGCGGAGGCUCUUUGGCCAGGUCGGACACAGCAGGGGCAAUAGCAAGAGAGAGGGGCUUCUCCAAGCCGGAUUGAGAAAAGGGAGGCUGGAAAGGGUCUGCCUCAAGCCUAGGAAGCAGCUUAUAUACGUCCUGUGUUCAGAGAGAAAGCGCGGCAGAGAAGAGGUUAAAACGACCCUGUGGGAGGCUCGCAGCUGGCUGCUUGGGUUGUGAGUGUGUCCCAUGCGCUGCCCUUUGCGGUGCUUGUUUGUCUCGUAGCAGCCCCAGUGGAUGUUGCUGAAGGGUGUUGCUGAGAGAAAACUCAAAGCAGUGGCAGAGUCCACUUAGAGGGUGGAGCCUGGAGGAUGACUCAGCAGGGAGCGGUUCUGCAGGGUUACAAUAAUGAGCUGGUGAAAUACAUGGAAGACUUAUGCCUGCAAAGAGAAGAACUGAACAAACAGAUCCAGGAAGCGGAAGUGGAAAAAAAUAAACUCCAGCAUGAAAUCCAAAUCCUGAAUGAGCAACUGGAGUGUGUCUGUGAAACUUUGACCCAAAAGACAGCCUCACGGAACGAGCUUGAUAAAAUCCUUGCAGAAACUGAAGCUGCUUAUAUGAAGAUUUUGGAUAGUUCUAGAAUGCUGCUAAAUGUCCUGAAGAAGGAAGUGGGGAAUUUAAACAAAGCUGCAGAACUGAAAAGCAAUGUGUCCUGAAAUACCCAAACGCUUGGACUCACCACAAUCACAAUGCCUCUUGCUCAGAAAUAAGGUUAGCCACAGAACACUAUGAUGAGCAUUUAUCUGAGAAAGGACUCUACCUUAUUUUUUUAUAUGUUUUAGCACAUUUUAACAUCAUGGAAAAUAAUGUACAAUAAAGAUAAAUAAAGGUGCAGUUUUGCUAAAAAAAAUUCCUAUAACUAUCUUUACAACACCUAUGAAAAAUUAUACACUUUGUAAAUAGAUUUUAGGAAAAUAGAGGUCAGAUUUUGCACUAGGUUUGGCAUGAUGUUUACUUGCCCUUACAGUUGUUAGUCAAGGAAAUAAUUUUUUGAUGUACUAUUCAAGCCCUGAAUGUUCACUGCUGAGUUUCAUUGAGAUUUAUUACUAUUCCUUAAAUCUGAAAAGAAAAAGCACUUUUGUCUCUCUUCAGUCACACCUCUAGCAAUGGCAAGAAGACUUGUUUGUGAUUUCUGAAAGAAAUUUAGUCCAGUUCUCUCUUACCUGGGGAACAUUGUCACUGAGCCCUGGGAAGAAGAAAGGGAUGCUAUAAAAUGAGGGUCUGCUGUCUAUCUGAAAUUUGCCCAUAAUUCAAACUCAAUAUUUAAUUUUAUAAAGAUGGUAUCCAGAGGCUCUAUGCAUUUUUGUGUUGCUUUAAGGCCCACCUACACCCCUUCUAAAAUAAAUGGAACAUGAACACUUAGUCAUUUACAUCAAUAUAUGUUAAAAGUAAGUAUUUUUCCCCUUUUAAUACUAGUUAAAAAGAACUCUCAAAACUGAAUUUCUAAAAUUUCAGUUGGCCAUUUCCUUAUAAAGUGUGUGGCAACUGUAAACUUGCAUACUGGGAGAAAACAGCUUCCAUCACUUUUAUACCAAGUGACUAUAUGUGGUAUUCUAAUGGGAAAUUCUGAGUCUUUAGAAAUCUUGACCAUACAUGGCCUAACUUAUUGUGAUAGUUCUUAUCACUGUGGAAUCUUCAUACAACUUGUUGCAGUGACAAUUUUUUACUUAACUUUGUAGAAGCUGUCUGUCUACUGGGAUCAUCUUCUCUGAGGGCAAAAGACAAAACUACCUGAAGACUUUAUUUUGGAUUCACUUGUGUAAAAUGUCUAUUAUUCAUGUAUUAUAGACUCCAAAGAAUUUUGAAGAAUAUGGGUGGGAGAGUUCUAAAUGCACAUUAAGAAAAUAAUAUUAAAGAUGGUUCUCUAGUUUUGAAGUUUUCUUUUGAAAGUGAUUAAAAACCUAGUUUAGAAGGGCAAAGAAGAGAAAAUGGCAGAAAUCUCAAUUCUAAUCCUGUUUUCUAUUUCUAGUAUGUAUUAAAUCUUUUAUAUUGCCCUACACAGUAACAUAUUGUAGCACUAGGUUUGUUCUUAGAUGUGCCUGGCAGUAAAAUCUUUCAUACAGGUUCUAUACAUUUAAAAGACUGCAGUUAUACACUGCCUGAUAAGUAAGGGUAACACAAACAAUGAAUCCCUCAGACGUAAGAGUAAAGGGUUUGUUACUGCACAUUGUCUCUAGUUAAUUAGUCUAUAUUCAGUUUUUGCAUCCUCCUGAUUCCCCUAUGUACAGUGCUGCUUUUAAAAAAAGUCUCAUGGGGAUAGGAUGGCUGAGCUAAUAAACAAUUUGUUCAAGUACCAUUUCUGCUAGUCUCUUGAAAAAUACAAAACUAGCCACUAUUAGGGAUUCUGCUAUUGUUUGGUACUGUAACUCUAAUGAGGUAAAAUCCUGCAUUCUUGUUUUUUUUUACUUCACAAAUUACAGCAGAUAUUUUUGACUGAGUCUGAGCUUCUGUCUAUCCAUCCACAUGUUUGAUCUGCUUACCCUGUCUGAUCCUGCUGAGUAUUGAUUACUAUGUCAUGUUUGUUACUGACAUCACAACCUUAGAUUUUUCUUAGUCUCUAGAUAAGUACAGCAAGGACUUCUGUCCUAGCUUGGCAUGUAGUUGUUUUACUUAGACAUAAAGAAUUUCAGGUGGAAAAAGAACUUGUAUCAUGAAAGCUCUGGUUACAGAGAACUCAAAUGGCAGCUUCAUACCUCUUGUAUUUCCCAUGUCAUUUGGAAGGAGUGAGUGAGAGGCAGUUUGUCAAUAAAAUAACUAUAUCAUAUGCAAUAAGCAGUAUUUCCUAUUACCAUGCUUAAGCAAUUAAAACUUUAGUUUAAUUUUACAAUUUAUGUACAACAUCAGCUAGUACAGACAAAAUUGAAAUACUUGUGCUGAUAACAUUUUUUUUUUUAAAAGCCAAUGAUUGGCUACCAAAAGCAAGCAAAUACAUUUAUUAUCCCAAUAUCUCAACACAAUGGGAAUACAAUUUAAAUGGUCAUAUGCUGCUAACUGAAACUCAGCUGAAAUUAGUGGACAGUUCCGAAGCACAGAUGGAGGGCAGAGUAUGGCCUUAUGUCUGCUCUGUUAGGGUAUCUCUACACUACGGUGUUAUUUCGAAAUAGCUCAUUUUGAAAUAAAG